rnacentral:rRNA from 1 species
UGAGGGAAAGUUGCAAAGAACUUUGAAGAGAGAGUUCAAGAGUACGUGAAACUGCUCAGAGGGAAACGGGUGGGCCCUCGAAAUCCUUCUUGCGGAGGGAUUCAGUCUGGAGUUCCGCGGGGCGAUCGCGGUUACCGUACCCGUCGAAAGGACGGUGCCGCGACGCGGUUCCGCGGGCGCCAGACGCACUUCCUCCCGCACUCAGGACGCCGCAACCGAUCGGGUAGCAGCGAGAGUCGGCCUUGCGGCGGUUCCAGGCAGGUGACCGGGUUCGGGACUUCGCGUCCAGUUCUCCGGUUUUUUUAACGGAACCGCACGUGGCGCGACACCCGAUCGAGGUCGAAGUUCUCCUUACGGGGAACCCGCCGUCUCCUUCCCUAGCAGACGCGGGGCCCGGGUCAGCGAGCACCGGUGCGACGGUAUCCGCUCCCAGUAGCGGUCCGUUCGCCGGAGAGCCGAUGUUGGAUCCGGGCCGACCGCCGGGGGUCGAGUCAGCCGGUUGGCGGCGAGUAGGUCGGUCACCCACCCGACCCGUCUUGAAACACGGACCAAGGAGUCUAACAUGUGCGCGAGUCGCAGGGUCUUGAACAGGCCCUCGGGCGCAAUGAAAGUGAAUGUCCGUUCUUCGGACAGAGUUGGGACUCUCGUUCCUUGCGGGGACGGGAAGCACCAACGACCCGUUCCGAUCGACUCGUCGGCGGGACGGAGUAAGAGCGUACACGUUGGGACCCGAAAGAUGGUGAACUAUGCCUGGGCAGAACGAAGCCAGAGGAAACUCUGGUGGAGGUUCGUAGCGGUUCUGACGUGCAAAUCGAUCGUCAGACCCRGG